UACCUCGGGAUGUACCUCGGGACUGUGCCACUCGCCAGCCCCGUCAAGGCGUCUGGGACCGGCCGUGCACAGGGAAUGCGCUGCCAGAGCCGCGGAGAGGGAACACGCGGACGGGCAGGGCACAGAGCGCCGCGGCAGGCGCGGAGCUGAUAACGCUACCCGUGGCAGCGAAUAAAUUGCAUCGAUCGUGCUUAGGAAGGCGAAGUGCAAAUUCACUUUCACAGAGCCCGUUUCGUUGUGGUAACAGGGAGAACAAGGGCUGGUGAACUGUUUUAGAUACUUGUGAAGUGAAGCUGAGACAUCGGCGGCUUUAAGGCACGUACAGCUCGCAGUCCUCACACACGUACCGUGUGUCUGGACAUUCCGUGUUUUAACUUGGAGAAGUCAAAGCAGAGAGGCCGCUUGUGCCCCGCAGCCCUCGGGCAAUUCACCGCCCUUGGAGCAGGGCUGUAGGCAGGUGGAUUAACUCUCCGGGGCUGGACACUGCCGUGCUGGCUUCUAGGAAAAAGAAGGGAAAGGAAUAAAAGGUGUUUGCAGCUUCCCAGUCGUGUCAAACCGCUGCAGAACUGAGGCGAUUCCUUUUGCCAUCUGCUGGGGUUGUGCUGUAACCACAGCGGCGAUUUCCACGGCGGCGCUGGGAGAUGUUUGUCACCGCUCCCGGCUUGUCAGCAUUUAUGGAAGUGUGUGGCUAAAAGAGGAAUAGAACAUGUCACCGCUCUGCGUUCAGGUUUAUAAUUAGGACAAAACUGAGACCAAGCAAAUGUGGUCCGUUUCGCAGAACAAGUUUUUGAGAACCUUUAGCAAGAUGGAAGCAAUUUCAACAGGGUAAACUAUAGUGGGAAAGGGCACCAGAAGAUAUAGAGUACCAACCAGAAAGCAGCAGAUAGCUUUGCACAGAGGCUAUAUUUAAAAAUAAAAUCAUACUGCUGAGUUAGAAGAAUGAAGGUAUCAUCUCUGCACUUUUCUUGUCCUAAGGUGGACAAAGAAUGGAAGGAAGGAGAGACCCACAUACCCUUGAUAGCUUAGGGACAGAGAUGUGAAACACUGACACCUUGGGCACAAAUGGAUAAUUUUCAUUUAAAUGGGACCUUUUAUUUCAGUGGUGGGAUGGCCUGGGUAUUAAUGAGCAUUUCUGCCACUGCUCGCCACUGUUCUCUUUUUUCUCUUAUCAUUCUGUGCUCACUCACAGGUUAAUCAGUCAGCUGAGAGCCAACAAGCCAUGACUGCUCUGCUUAGAGAGAGCCUUGUUUGCAAAAAGUGUCGGUAACACUCUAGAGAAGUUAAUGGGGAUGGGAGAGGGCUGGGGAAAAAGGGAAAGGUACACCAGAGAAGUAAAGGAGGUCAGCUGGGGCAGACAAAAAGUGUAAGACAGCUUCAGGGAUGAGAAAUCAGAAUAAGAAUAAGAAGGCAAGGCUAUGAAACAUAGGAAAAAAUUGGAAAGACCUGUGUGAUGGUCUGAGAAAGAAAAUGGAGAAUGAAAAUGAGGGAAAAAAAAGGCAAGGGACAAAGAAAAGGAGAAAUGUGACCAGGAUGUCCAUCUGAUCUGUUCAGCUAAAUGCCAAAUGCGCUAAUUGAAACAGUUUUGAAAGUGACAACUAAGAAAAUAUUAAGUAACAUAUUUCCUUUUCACACUGAGCUUUUCUUCAUGUAGACAAUGAGCCUCAGACAUUUGUUUCACCUUGUAAUCUUUGUGCUAGCUUCCUUGGAAAAAAAAAAAUCAGCCAGCUUUUCUUUGGCAUUCUCAGUGGGUGGAUCACAGCCAUUUUUAAAUGUGAUGUCAUAGGAUUGUAUUUGCCAGUCCAGAUCAGAAAUAAUACACAAUGCUUUUCCCAAAAGGGCUACACAUGAAUGUCACUAAAAUGCCAUCCCAUUAUUUGCUUUCUUGAUGUGUUUGAGUUUUGUCUAGGAAAUAUAGCAGAAAUUAGUACAGGAUAAAAAAUAUUUAUAUAAGCAGUUCAAGAAGACAUUUUUUUUUGUUUGAUCUCACAUAUCAAAAUGGUUACAAAUCAAGGGCUGCAAACAAAAGUUCAACAGUAUUAUAUUAUGUAGCUGUGAAGAUUGCCCUGAUCUCUAGCCAGCAAAACAGAAGGUCAGGGAGUGUCUACACUAUUUGAGCAGCUAAUUUUCAGUGUCUGUAUAAUAGCCUGAGCAAGCCCAUGCUGACCUGGUGCCUUUUUUCUGUGGAAAUUCAUGAAAGAAGUUCUCUCCAAGUCUUGAGGUUCCUUCACCUGUCAGCAGGAAGAGAGAGGACAAAGUGUGUUUACAUGUACUGAAGAAGAAGCAGAGAAUGCCAUGAUCAAACUGCAGGGAUUUCUGAGAUACCUGUGAUGCCAGGGGUGUCCCAGGGACACAGGAAUGCCUACCCAGUGGCCCUGGCCUCCCCUGCCCCUGAAACAGGGCCAGCUCUGAGAGCCAUCAAAAAGGUUUAGGUUACUAAGAGUAUUGUUUUCAACCAUUUGUUCCUGAAAUGAUUUAAAUUCUCCUCCCUUUCCUUCUUUUCCCCACAUGAACUCAGCUUUGUGUGUGCUCCAAGGAGCUGUUUGUUGUUAAGAUCAGAGUUUUUAAGCUGGCAGAUAUUUUCACAGUGAUUAGCAAUUGUUCUCAUAAGCAGUGAGCAUCCUUUCUCUGCUUCAGGAGGGAAGGGAAUAAUUCAGAGUAAAUCACAGAUUUGUUUCUGAUUAAGCUUCCUGGCUGGGGCCAUUUGAUGACAUAUUUUCCUUUCCAUGCUCAAUUAGACUCUUAAAAUUGCCUACAUCUGAUCCAUGCCACUGCUGUGAAUGACAGACAUGCAUAUUACUGUUCCCACCACUGAAUUACCAGUAGCAUUACAGUUGCUCAAAUGUGUAAUUUUUAAUAACUACCGUUAAUAACAACCACAAAAACAAUGUUGUAUCCUUGGGCUUUUCCUUGUGGUAUUUAUGGUUAUCUUCUCUCUGGCUUGCAUUAGCCUGUACUGUUGGGAUGUGGGGUCUGCAGAUAACAGUUUCAGUUUGUGGAGCACAGGAUCCACUCAUGCACAGAAAAUUCAGUCUUAGAUCUGAGUAAUGCUAAGGGCAGGGGUUAAGUUUUAUUCUUAUGUCUUGUAAAAUGCUUAUAUAAUGUUGAUUUUAAAAAGGCAUAAUAAGAGAAACUGGUGUUUUUUUUCUGUGGUAUCAAUUCACCUGCAUUCUAAAACUGACCAUAAGAAUGCAACAUUCUCAGAAUUUUUAAAAUUCAUAAUAAUUCUUUGGCUAUCAUUUCUACAAGUAAUUCUUGUAUCUGAGCAUUUUAUUUUGCAUUUUCAGCCGUGCUGGCUAGCUGUCCUGGAGUAUUAAGUGUUCUUUUGCUGGCAAACUUACAAAUGCCUUCUCAGUCCUGACAUCAGAACUGAUCUGCCACCAUUUAGUACAGAGACUGGAGAGAAACAACUUCCAUAUGAUAAGAAGUGAUUAAUGUUCUGAUCAAGAAGCAAGCAAACACCAGCCCAAGCACAUUUACUGCUCGUGAGCUGAGCUUUGCCAGCUGAGGGGCCACACAAGUGGAACUGGCUUCUUGCUGUGGCCAGGAUCCCCAGUGAAGAAUCUGACAUGUGGCAUAAGGCUGAUGCUUGUGAUUUGACAGAGAGUUGGGUUGCCUAUUUUAAAAUGGCUGUUUAGACAGAAAUUACGUAGAUUCUGACACAAGAAUGUUGCAGUGUGGUCAAGGAUCACCAGUUUUGGCACUAUGUUGCUGAAGGGACUGUCUUUCCCAUGAAACAAAAGUUCAGAGCUCUAGGAAUCUCUUGUCUGUAAAUAUGAUCCUCUGACAAUUUCUGCAUGGGAAGGAGUCUCUGUUUUCAUGUUUUCAUGUUUUCUUUACUCCAUUUUGCUUUCCUAAGCUUCAAUGCAGUUUUUGUAGGAUACAUGUAUUUUUCUAUCUUAUCCUGACAUCUAAUAUUGCUAAAUAGUUAAAUAGUUGUUUGAUUUUCUACAAGCUAGGGCAUUCACAUGUCUCAGUUUGAUGUUACCAUUUAUAAAAUCUGGGGGAAAAAAUAAAGAGAAAAAGAUUUUGCAACAUCAAGAAAUGAAUAUAAUUGAGUAUGUGACAGGGAGCUGGGAGGUUACAUUUAUUCUGGUGACAGCAGCUUAUCAACACUGCUUUCAUAUAACACUGUGAUUAGUAAUUAUGUUGUUAAAGACACCCUAUUCCUACCUUCAUUUUUAUAUCACUGUUCUGGUACAUGUGAAUAGAGGGUGGUGUUACAAGCAGUUGAAGUUGAAGUUCUUCUUUCCCCUUCCUCCCCCACAAGAACACUCGGAGUUGUCAAAAAAUGCAUGUGUUAGUUUUUGAGGACUCCUGGUUUUCAAGGGAAGGUGUUGUUUGAUCAGUGAGAUUGUUUGUUCUUUGACUUAAUUUCUAAGUUAAGCGAAAUUUUGAACUAUUUGCCUUUGGGGAAUAUGGUCAGUGGUUUUUGGGCUGUGCCAGCCAAGCAAGUUUUCCUUUUUCUCUAGAAUAGGUUUCAUCUGUAAAAAUAAAGUUAACAAGAAUGC